UGGCCACAUCACGUUAAAACACCUGUUACUGUACAAUCACUGAAGUUAAGUAGUGUUGAGCCUGGUCAGUACCUAGAUGGGUGACCACUUGAGAAUACCAAGUGCUGUAAG